rfam:Glarea lozoyensis ATCC 20868 chromosome Tnknown GLAREA11, whole genome shotgun sequence.
ACAUACGACCAUAGACUCAGGAGAAUCGGGCAUCCCGUCCGCUCUGCCAUACGCAAGCCUGAGAUCGGCAGAUUAGUAGUUGGGUGGGUGACCACCAGCGAAUACCUGCUGUUGUAUGUU